CGAGAUGGCGACAUGGAGCAAACCCCAAAAACAAGNGCCCCAGUUCGGAUUGCAGGCUGCAACCCGCCUGCAUGAAGCCGGAAUCGCUAGUAAUCGCGAAUCAGAAUGUCGCGGUGAAUACGUUCCCGGGUCUUGUACACACCGCCCGUCACACCAUGGGAGUCGGAAAUGCCCGAAGUCAGUGACCCAACCGUAAGGAGGGAGCUGCCGAAGGUGGAGCCGGUAACUGGGGUGAAGUCGUAACAAGGUAGC
rnacentral:rRNA from 1 species